rnacentral:tRNA from 1 species
GGGGCUCUAGCUCAGCGGAAGAGCACUCGGUUUCGAACCGAUAGGUCGGGGGUUCGAAUCCCUCGAGCCCCG